rnacentral:lncRNA from 1 species
AUGAUGCACAUUUGAAGUUCGAAUACCAAUCUCAACGUUGUCGCUUGAUAUCGUCCCAUCAAACCUACAACUAAGGAAAUAUAUAGUAGUCAGAAGUGCCACUUACUAUCGAUGCGUUAAUUUUGUAUGUUUCCAUGGGGCAACAGUGCAACACUAAAAGGAAAACUAAAAAAGCAUGAACACUAGUACACUACUGGUUAAGAGGGGAAAAAGCAUCUAAUGAUGUUCACUGAGCAGGACCUACUCUUGCUAUGCAAUCCACAUCAAAUCAUUGUAUCUAUGUUAGCGAUAAUCUUGAAUUCUUGGAGAAACAGGUAUCAAAAGUUGUAAUAAGAACUGACUGUUUGAACCGAACUUACAAAAAUAACAGCAAAUUGCAUUGACUUCGGGUGUGUUCGACUGAAACAGAACUUCCACCAGUAACAUUCAACAUUUUAGUGAAAUGCCGUUAUGAAAUAAGAAGCACAUGUAGGGAGCACAAGGGAGAAAUUUUAGCACUCAAGAACUUUAAUAAGAAUUCACCAGGAGGAUGGUAAAAUUCGGCUAUAUGCUUCCUAUUUUAUAAUCAUUCUGCACUAGAAUUACUGGAUCAAUUGGCAUCAGUAUAUGCUUCCAAGCAGAACCAAUCAUUUCUUUCAAACAAAAUAAGUAUGUAAUCUGUUCCCACAUUUCAAACCUAUGAGCUUGUACAGCUUUAGACCUCUAUGAACACAUCAGCCCCAACAAGGUCGUACAAAGCACAUCCAUGUCAGAGACUCUUCCUUUAUAUUUUAGCAUAAAUAACAUAACUAGAAGAAUAAUUACCAAUAAAUAUGCUUAUCCAACUCCAAAAACAAAAAAGACAACUGCACAAAGUGGGAAAGAAGUUAAUUACCAUCUCAAUGCCAAAAACACUGUGCUAUCAGGAUCACCAAGUUCCAUAUCACCAGUGUGCCUACAAUUUGACAAAUGAAGCAAAAUCUCAUCUUUCUGAUAAAAUAUAUUAAGAGUGAUGAAGGUCAAGAAAAUAAGAUAAUAUGAAAGUCGGCCUCGCAAACAACUAUCUAA